UACGAAGGGGGCUAGCGUUGUUCGGAAUCACUGGGCGUAAAGGGCGCGUAGGCGGCUUUGUAAGUCGGGGGUGAAAGCCUGUGGCUCAACCACAGAAUUGCCUUCGAUACUGCAUGGCUUGAGACCGGAAGAGGUUAGUGGAACUGCGAGUGUAGAGGUGAAAUUCGUAGAUAUUCGCAAGAACACCAGUGGCGAAGGCGGCUGACUGGUCCGGCUCUGACGCUGAGGCGCGAAAGCGUGGGGAGCAAACAGG
rnacentral:rRNA from 1 species